rnacentral:rRNA from 1 species
AUUGAACGCUGGCGGCAGGCCUAACACAUGCAAGUCGAGCGAGCGGCGGACGGGUGAGUAAUGUAUGGGAAACUGCCCGAUGGAGGGGGAUAACUACUGGAAACGGUAGCUAAUACCGCAUACUAUCGGAUGUGCCCAGAUGGGAUUAGCUAGUAGGUGGGGUAAAGGCUCACCUAGGCGACGAUCCCUAGCUGGUCUGAGAGGAUGAUCAGCCACACGGGGACUGAGACACGGUCCAGACUCCUACGGGAGGCAGCAGUGGGGAAUAUUGCACAAUGGGCGCAAGCCUGAUGCAGCCAUGCCGCGUGUGUGAAGAAGGCCUUAGGGUUGUAAAGCACUUUCAGCGGGGAGGCGUUACUCGCAGAAGAAGCACCGGCUAACUCCGUGCCAGCAGCCGCGGUAAUUC